UGGGGGGCAGAGGAGCUGCUCUCCAGACAAAUCCAUACGGAUCUCUUCUGCGCAUUCCCAACUACGCUCACAGCUGGAGACAAGUAAAGCUAUGGCAUGAAGGGUGUUUGCCCAGGCCAGAUGCCACAUUGUCCGUGCAUCCCUAAGACCUUCAUAAUGCUGAGGGAAACAUACUGCUCCAGAGCAACACGUGGAUGUCCCUAGUGUCUCCUCCAUAUAUUUAGUCACAUGCAUACAUCCCUUACGAAGAUGUAUAUUCCUCAUACUUUUCACAAACGGAGUGUGUGUGACAGAUAAUUAAAAGACUAAUUCCCCAAGGAAUUCAUGAACCUGUCACCUGUAGGAUAGGUCACAGUACAAUUAUUAAGGGAUGUUUUCAUUUUUGUGUUGUACAAAACCCAACAAAACUGAAAUACCUUUUCCGCAUACCUUGCCAGCUAAUAGAACCAAGAAAAAAAAAAGGUUAUGCUUGACUAAAUUCAGGAAAACUUCAGUUAGAGAUUGAAGGAGAGGCGGAAGCACACAGAAAAGGAUUAAACAGAAUUAUUUUUUCUGGUCAGCAAAACAAUUAUACCUUUUUUUCCUUAAGAACCAGUUCAUUAUCCUCUUAGCGAUCCAAUCCUCAAAUUUUAUACAGUGCUACAGCAGAUAACAGAUUACAGAAGGAUGACAAAGUUUGUGAAUGGGCCUCCACUAAGAAAUAAGCUUAAAAUAUUUUUAAUUUAAGUUUUCUAAAGAAAUAUCUGUUUUAUGUGGUAGAACAAAAGCAAGAAAACACUAAUACAUUUAGCACAGCACAAUUUCAGUAGAUAAAGAUGUAAUUAAAAAGCAAUGCUACACCUGAAAUAAAUUCACUUUCUCAGUAGGUUAAAACCCACUGAAAUAAAGGCUGGUGGAGGAGAGAUAGGGAAUGCUGCAAAGGUUUCUGGGGGACAGCAGGAAAUAAAAGCUGAAGUAGCAGCAGCUGUGUUGACUGCUUCAAAGCUGGAGGGGGUUAAAAGAAGUAAAAGGCUAAACCCAUGCUUGCCAUCAGCAGAAGCUGAUGAACUUUUCAACAUUGAAAUCUGUGAAAAGGCCACUCCCUGGUGGUCACAGAACUUUGCUGUGUGCCGUCCUGAUAACAGAGACCCACUGGAGAUCCUUUGUAUAUUAGGAUAAGGACUUGCUGUUCUGGAAUGCUCUUUCAGAAGACAAAAAUAGAUAUCCAGGUGGUACUGGGCUCCUUCUAAGGCCAAAGGACGGACUGGGGUUUCAGUGCAGUAUGAGAAAGGAUUUGAGAUGAAUCAGCAAUAUAAAAUAAUGUUUUCACUGUAAUGUGUGUAUAGGACACACAGGAGCUGUAACUGGGCACAUCUCUAACUAUAAAACAGCCCAGCAGGAUGUUACAGUGACUGUGUCUGCUUGCAAAUGAGAUAGUAAGACCAAACAAUUAUAAAAGAACCAUAACAACUUU